AUGACUAAGUAACAGGCAUUGGCUGCAACAUUGUUGCUUGUCAUGGUGUUUCUCCUAGCCGCACUAGAGGGUGUUCAUGGCGUCUGUGGCAUGUCGAAUGAUGAAUUCAAACUUUGCCAACCCGCAGCGGCAGUGAAUAACCCGACGGACAGCCCAUCGGCUGAGUGUUGUGCCGCGCUUGGGAAGGCCAACCUAUCAUACAUUUGCCACUACAAAGGCAUCGCCGGUAUAUGGCUGAGAAUGUACCACAUCGACGCAAACCACGCCAUGGUGCUGCCCGGCAAGUGCGUUCUCAUCUUGCCCAACAACUGCUCGUGAUGA
rnacentral:rRNA from 1 species